rnacentral:lncRNA from 1 species
UCUUACUUCAGUGCUUUUAGGACUGGGCAAAGAAGACAACAAAGGCCUUUCAGACCCUUGCCUCAUCUACUCAGCCAGUGAUCUGGCCUCUCAGGAGAGAGCUGACUUCCCUUCCUUCAGUGGAAGGGAGAGCCUCCUUGGCUGAAUAACACUUCUGAGAGUCGGGUCAAUGUCCUGGCUUUCUGUCCAUGGGCCACAUGUCUCCAGGGUUUGGGAGAUGCAGGCGUGGCUGAGCUAGCCACUCUGACUCUACUCGGGGCGCCUCUGCAAUGUAUAUAUCUGAGUCCUUGGUUGCUGCAGGGAUACCAGAGUUUGUUCAAGGAUGCUCUUGUCCCAUGUCUGACUUUGAAGGCUCAUGCAGUAGGCAGGUGUCCGUGCCACCCUGUGGGGUACCUGCACACAGCAUCUCAGCGGUCACUUC